rnacentral:tRNA from 1 species
CCUCUGGUAGCUCAGUUGGUAGAGCGGUGGACUGUAGAUCCAUGGGUCGCUGGUUCAAAUCCGGCCCAGAGGA